GUUGGACUGAAUCUCUUCACCUGUGCCCCAAAGCCAGCCUGUGACUGAGAGCCAGCAGCCUAGAAGUCAGCCCGUCUGCUCCCAGAAAUGGCAGCUGCCAUGUUAUGUGAUAUGGACUGAUGAAUCCGAAGAAAUUAAUUGCUACAAGACAUCAUGGAGAAAAAGAAAUCUGCUGACACUAAGUGGACAAGAUAUGUACUUGGAACUAUCAGAGCUGGAACAAGAGUUCCUCCUGCAGGUUCCCAUGGCUGGCCUCUUGUAAGCUUACCUGGGAAUUCGGUGUGUGCACUCCUCAGCUGAGUACCGUAGGGCCUCACCUGCUGACAGCCCUGGGGAGAAAGAGAGGAGGUUCAACAAGAUAACAAAAACCACCCCACUUCCAUGACACUCACCACUCUGUCAGUGCCUCGCUGCCCAAAGCCUUGGGCCGUUUGUCUGUUCUCCCUGCUAACAUUAGACCGGCUUGGAGACCUCUCUGCCACGCUGGGGUAAGCCCACGAGCCCCUCCAGCCUCGGCAGGAGGAGAUCCCUGCACGACUGUGCCAAUGCAGAGGCUCGCCUGCCAGCUUCCAAUCUCUUUCUGCAGAAUGAAGUAGCUCUGCAAUUAAUGGAUUGGGAUGCAAAUCAAUUUUCCUGUCCAGUGAGAAGUUUUGGUCUUUUUUUUUUCCUUCAGGCUCCCACAUUUUCUGCUAUCCUGAAUUCCAGCAAAAGCUGGCAUCUUUAAUUGUGUCACGAAUUGAAAAGAAAAAUGAAGAAUGUAGACAGGAUCAGUUGGUUAUUGUUAGCAUUUUGCAUCCCUAGGUCUCCAGCACCACUUCUAAUGGAGCAUUUCUAAACAAAAUUAAUUUCAGAUGUCAAAAGAAAACUAAUUUCAGAGCUCUGUUUGUUUGUUAAACAGGGUUGGAACUUUGUAUUUGGCACACACAUGGAAAAACAAGAGUAAGAGCAGACGUGAAUGUGCUGUUCUGAAGUGAUGGAUUGUGCUCAGCUUGAUGCACGCUUACACUGUUUGCAUGUCUGCUAACAGCCCGCUCCUGAGCUCUGAUAUGAAUGGAAGAGUGAGGACCAGGGCACAGCCGUGGGGUUGCUGAUGAGGAUGUGGCUGGGCCCAGGCGAGUGAUGCAUGUUGCCCAGGGCCAGCUGCUUGCCUGCUUCUAACAACACUUUCAGAUCUCCUUUUUUUGCCUGGAGGGGAAUUAAAAUUCGACUUCUCCUCCUUCCUUUGUUAAAGAACAAAUUGCUGCUGUCUCUGUCGAAAUCUGUCUGGGGUCAGGCUGCCCUGGCAGGAGGAGAGGCUCAGCCUUGGGCCUCUCCCUCCCAGCUGCCUGUGAGUUGCAGGAAGCUGCGCCCCUCUCCAGCCUUCCCUUCUGAGCUGCCAAGCCACAGCUCCCUGCAGGACGGUGGAGGACGUUCAGCCACGCCAGGACUUAAAACAGCUCGGUGGCUUUUUUUCCCUCCCUGCACUGAGCAUAGAACGAGUCACAGUGGUUAUAUUCAGUAUCUGACACUGGGUGAACGAAUGCCUCUGAGCCCAAUUCUCUUCAUCUGCGUUAAGUCAUUCAUAUCGUGGAGGUUUACUUUUUUUUUUUUUUUUUAAUAAAUAAGACCUGGAAAUAAAAUGAUAUCAGGUUAGAGUGGCAUGCAUGUGACCUUGAUCUGCAUAGCUGGAAGUGACAAGGCACUGUUUUUUAAAUGUUUUAAUACUUGCAUGUACUUUUAUGCUGCAGUAUUUUAAUAUAGCAGUAAUUUAAGGCUAAACUUAUUUCUGUGUUAUGCCUUGUAGCAAUAAUUAAAGUUACAAAGUGGUUUCUCUUAAAAUUCCAUGUUUUCACACUCCAAAGUUUCACUGUUACUGUAGCUUUGGUUAUUGCUCAAAAAUAGGAAGCUGAUAUUCUUGUUUUUUUUUACUUAGUUUUAUGAAAAAUGACAUAAAACAAGCCUUGGCUUAUUUCAAAUCAUGACCAUCGUAAUAAUUACACUUUGUAUUACACUUUGUAAAAUAAAAUUGCAGACUUUGUAUUCUCA